rnacentral:rRNA from 1 species
UGGCUCAGAAUGAACGCUGGCGGCAUGGAUUAGGCAUGCAAGUCGAACGAGAAAGUUAGCAAUAGCGAGUAAAGUGGCGAAAGGGUGAGUAACACGUGAGGAACCUGCCCCCUGGCCCGGAACAAGCCUGUGAAAACGGGUCUGACACCGGAUGAGGACCCCUCCCGCAUGGGAGGCAGUCCAAAUAUUGAUAGCCAAGGGAUGGCCUCGCGUCCCAUUAGCUAGUUGGCGGGGUAACGGCCCACCAAGGCUGCGACGGGUAGGUGGUCUGAGAGGAUGGUCACCCACACUGGGACUGAGACACUGCCCAGACUCCUACGGGAGGCUGCAGUCGAGAAUCUUCCGCAAUGGGCGCAAGCCUGAACCGGAGCGAUGCCGCGUGAGGGACGAAGGCCUUCGGGUUGUAAACCUCUGUCGACGGGAACGAACACAAUGACGGUACCCGUCAAGAAAGCCACGGCUAACCACGUGCCAGCAGCUGC